rnacentral:rRNA from 1 species
GUGUCAGCAGCCGCGGUAAUACGAACUGUGCAAACGUUAUUCGGAAUCACUGGGCUUACAGGGUGCGUAGGCGGCUUGUUAAGCAGGGUGUGAAAUCCCUCGGCUCAACCGAGGAAUUGCGCCCUGAACUGGCGAGCUUGAGUGGGAUAGAGGUGCGUGGAACUUCCAGUGGAGCGGUGAAAUGUGUUGAUAUUGGAAGGAACACCAGAGGCGAAAGCGGCGCACUGGAUCUCAACUGACGCUGAGGCACGAAAGCCAGGGGAGCAAACGGGAUUAGAUACCCCGGUAGUCCUGGCUGUAAACGAUGAGCACUAGCUGGCAGCGGCGGAUGCCGUUGCCAACGUAGCGAAAGUGUUAAGUGCUCCGCCUGGGGAGUAUGGUCGCAAGGCUGAA